ACAGUGAAACGAGCUUGCAUGAGAGCAUCCCAGGACCACUGAACAUUCAGAGGGCUGGAGGCAGAGAAAAACUUCCCCUACUCAAGAAAAAGAAGCUAUUUUUGUCAAGUUAAAUGAGCCUGAACCUGCAGAGCUGAAUUGGCAGAUGAAUAUUGCUAAUUGGUGCAGUUUCUUCGGUGCAGGAAAGAGUUUCCAAUCAGACCGGCAAUUCAUUGGCCACAUGAAGGCGUGGUCUGACUCUUGGGGCCAGAGUUGCAUUGAUGGCACUUGAGAGACUAAUACAUAAUCCAGAGCUCCAAAUGUACACUGUGAAAUAAAACUGCCAAGACUAGGAGAGGAAAUUAUCUCCAGGAAAAAUGCCAUGCAUGACCAGGGUUAAUGAUAUGGAACACACCCCACAAAGAUGCUUUGCCUUUGGGUACCAGGACUUCAAAUCCUACACAAUGAAGGAGACUUGAAGACAUCGCCCAGAAGGUAGAGCUUCAAAUCCUGUUCUAGGGCCCAGAAGCAGAGACUCAGCCUGCCUGCACCCAGGUGAAAUAAACAGCAUUUUUGCUCACACAUAGCCUGUUUGGUGGUCUCUUCACAUGGAUGCGCAUGAAAUUUGGUGCUGUGACUCGGAUCCGGAGACCUCCCUUGGGAGAUAAAAUCCCCUGUCCUCCUGCUCUUUGCUCCGUGAAAAAGAUCCACCUACGACCUCAAGUCCUCAGACCCACCAGCCCAAGGAACAUCUCACCAAUUUUAAAUCAGCAAAAUGACAUGAAUGACUGAAAAAGCAUGUGGAGCACAAGACUCAAGAACUAAGUGAAAGGACUCACACUUCCUGAUUUCAAGUAAAGCUACAGCAAUCAAGACGUGGCAUUGAUGUAAGAAUAGACACAUCAAUGAAUGAAACAGAAUACAUCUUCCAGAAAUAAAUUCACACAAAUAUAGUCAAGAGGUUUUUUGUGUGCUAAAGUGUAUAUAAUAUUUACCAUUUUAACCAUUUUUAAGUGCACAGUUCAGAAGCAUUAAGAAUAAACAAUGUUGUAUAACCAUCACCAUUAUCCAGUUCCAGAAUUUUUCAUCACCUCACACAGAAACUCUGUACCUAUUAUCAACAAUAAAUUUUCAUUCCCCCCUUGCCCUCAGUCUCUGGUAACCACUAUUGAACUUUCUGUUUCUAUGAAUUUGCCCCUUCUCAGUGCCUAAUAUGAGUGGAAUAAUACAAUAUGGGUCCUUUGUGCCUAGUUUAUUUCACUUACUGUAAUGUUUUCAAGGUUCAUCCAUGUUAUAAUAUGGAUCAGAAUUUUAUUUCUUUUCAAGCAUGAAUAAUAGUCCAUGGUAUGUCUAUACCACAUUGUUUAUCCAUUCAUCAGCUGAUGGAUAUUUGGGGGUUGUUUCUAUCUUUUGGCUAUUGUAAAUGAUGAUGUUAUGAACAAUGGUGUAUAAUGUCUGUUUGAGCACUGCUUUGAAUUGUUUGGGGUAUAUACUUAGGAGCGGAAUUACUGGAUCAUAUGUCAAUUCUAUGUUUAAUUUUUGAGGAACUGUCGAGCUGUCUUUCACAGCAGCUGCAUAAUUUUACAUUCCCACCACAAUGCAUAAGAGCUUCAGUUUCUCAAAAUCUUUACCAACAUUUAUUUUUCUUUUUAAAAAUAUAUAAUAGCCAUACUAAUAGUAUAAAGUAAUAUUUCAUUGUGCAUUUGAUUUGCAUUUCCCUAAUGAUAACUGAUGUUGAGCAUCUUUUCACGUGCUUGUUGACCAUUUGUAUAUCUUCUUUUGAGAUAUGUCUAAUCAAGUCCUUUGUCCAUUUUUUAAUUGGGCUGGGUAUUAUUCUUCUGUUAUUGUUGAGUUGCAGGAGUUCUUUAUAUAUUCUGCAUAAAAGUUCCUUA
ensembl:lncRNA LINC00836 long intergenic non-protein coding RNA 836